CACCCACUGGCUCGACUUCGCCACCGGCGACGCCACCGUCGAGAAGAAACUACUCACGGACUAGCUAAUUAAUAACGUACCGCCUUGCUAGCCCUCACCCUCACUGAUGAGUGCCAUAAGCAUUACUACAAAGACAGGACCACGCAACAACAAUGGUGCCAAUAAAGGCUUUGAAGCAUGCUUCGCCACAGAGCGCCUGCUUUUUCUUUUAAAACCAGCAUUUUCGUUUCAGCUUAUAUAUAUAUUUAUAGAACGCAUGAUCUGUAUCCAAUACAAGCUUCAGAACCCCUUUAUGUUUUCGGAAAAGGUCGUCCAAAACUCCGGUCCAGAUUAUGUUGCUAUUUGAAAACUGAGGCAAUAUAUAGCUUUAUAUCAUUAUAUGUGAG
rnacentral:lncRNA from 1 species